GAGAGGGUAGCUAUGGGAAAAGUUUUAUAUUUACGAUAUGAUGAUGCCUGUUUGACUCGGGUCUCUCUUA
rnacentral:tRNA from 1 species